AAAAAUUUAGUUAAUAUUAUAACAUUAAAUUGUCAAUUUAAAAUAAUUUUGAAAAAUAAUUUUUA
rnacentral:tRNA from 1 species